AUGCAUAUUAUUAAUAUUUUUAGAAUAUAAUAACUAAUGUUUCAAAAUUAAUUAUAAAUUAAUAAUUAGGGGUGAUAGGCCUAACAAGUUUGAAUUUAUCUGGAUUAUUUUUAAAUGUAUUUAGUACAGAGUUAACUUGAAAAAAAGAAUGGUGAGAUUUUUUUAAGAAAGGAUUUUUAUUAUAUAACGAAUUAAUUAAGUAACCUUGAAUUAAUUAUUAAAUAAUCAAUUAAUAAAUUUAGAAUCUUUAUAUUAAAAUUACAUAUUUUUAAAUUUUAAAAUAUAUUGAUAAUGUUAAAAUUAGUUUAAAAUAUUAAAAUUAUUUAAAAGAACUCGGCAAAAAAAUAUUCAACUGUUUAUCAAAAACAUAGCGUUAUGAAUAUAUAUAAGGUAAAACCUGCCCGGUGUAAUUAAACGGCCGCAGUACCUUGACUGUGCUAAGGUAGCAUAAUAAUUUGACUUUUAAUUGGGGCCUUGAUGAAAGGAAUAAUGGAUAUUAGCUGUUUCUAAAUAAUUUAUUAGAAAUUACAAUGAAGGUGAAAAUUCCUUUAUUAAUAUAAAAGACGAGAAGACCCUAGGAGUUUAAAUUUAUUUUGUUGGGGCGACAUUACAGCAUUUAACCUGUAAAAUUUAAUAAUAUAAAACGAAUAAUUUUAAUUUUAAUUAAGCUACCCUAGGGAUAACAGCAUAAUUAUUUUAUAGAUUGUGACCUCGAUGUUGGAUUAGGAAAUUUAAAUAUUAGUAAUAUUUACUUUAAGUUCUGUUCGAACUU
rnacentral:rRNA from 1 species